UACAUAGGCCUCGAGCGUUAGGCGGAAUCACUGGGCUUAAAGCGUGUGUAGGCGGACUUCUAAGUACCUUGUGAAAUCCCACGUCUCACCCGUGGAACUGCUCGGUAUACUGGUCGUCUUGAGCCUUCUAGGGGCGAGUGGAACAAAUGGUGGAGCGGUGAAAUGCGUAGAUAUCAUUUGGAACGCCAAUGGUGAAAACAACUCGCUGGGGAAGUGCUGACGCUGAGACACGAAAGCCAGGGGAGCGAACGGG
rnacentral:rRNA from 1 species